UACGUAGGGUGCAGGCGUUAUUCGGAAUUACUGGGCGUAAAGCGUGCGCAGGCGGUUUGCUAAGUCAGGUGUGAAAUCCCCGGGCUUAACCUGGGAACUGCGCUUGUAACUGGCAAGCUAGAGUGUGGCAGAGGGGGGUGGAAUUCCAGGUGUAGCAGUGAAAUGCGUAGAGAUCUGGAGGAACACCGAUGGCGAAGGCAGCCCCCUGGGCUAACACUGACGCUCAUGCACGAAAGCGUGGGGAGCAAACAGG
rnacentral:rRNA from 1 species